CCUACGGGAGGCAGCAGUGAGGAAUAUUGGUCAAUGGACGAGAGUCUGAACCAGCAAAGUAGCGUGAAGGAUGACUGCCCUAUGGGUUGUAAACUUCUUUUAUAUGGGAAUAAAACGUUCCACGUGUGGGAUUUUGUAUGUACCAUAUUAAUAAGGAUCGGCUAACUCCGUGCCAGCAGCCGCGGUAAUACGGAGGUUUCGAGCGUUAUCCGGAUUUAUUGGGUUUAAGGGGAGCGUAGGUGGACUGUUAAGUCAGUUGUGAAAGUUGGCGGCUCAACCGUAAAAUUGCAGUUGAAACUGGCAGUCUUGAGUACAGUAGAGGUGGGCGGAAUUCGUGGUGUAGCGGUGAAAUGCUUAGAUAUCACGAAGAACUCCGAUGGCGAAGGCAGUUCACUGGACUGCAACUGACACUGAGGCUCGAAAGUGUGGGUAGCAAACAGGAUUAGAUACCCGAGUAGUC
rnacentral:rRNA from 1 species